CAGACGUGUCUCCCAACACUGCGCUCCGAUCUCCCUCCUGCGCCUCAAAUGACCGGAGAGGCGCAAAAGCUUCGCCAAGUGUUUGUCCCUUUAACCGACAACGGAUAGAAUGGAAUAAAGUGCUGUUUUUUUCUUUUACAGGCAAUCCUCGGAGUGGAACGCGUGGCGUGAAAACAAUGGAUAAAUAAAAGAUUCCUGUAGAGGGAACAGAAGAAACGAGGGAGGGUAACAAGGGUCGGUGCCGACAUUUGCGAGAACACUCAUUGAUCCAGUGCAUUUGAUCUCAUCUGGAACCAACAGUCUGCCAGGGUAUGACAGACCAUAUGCAUACACACACACACACGCACGCACACACACUCAUCUUUUAAAGGAAGCAAACACAUUACUCUUUGCUAAGUGGAAAUUUCACUCAUGUGUUAAUGUCAUCGCUCACAGCUCCACUUGAGCAUCACUCAUCAGUUAGUCACACACACUUCCCUCCACAGCCUCCACACCUAAAUGUACAUCUUUCCGUUCACGCAGAAAGCAACUUUUAUGUCUCACAUUAGAUUACCCCUGAUUCACACACACUGGUGCGCACACACAAAUCACCACACAUCAGUUAUAUCUUUUAGGCUGAUGGAGGGAGUGGGGGGGUGUUGGCAUUGGGAGGGGCUGACAAGGGAGGAGAGGAAGUACACAGGAAGUACAUUAGUUAUCACUCCCAUGUCUUCUCCACCUUUUCACUUCUUAUCACCACCCGACAUCUCAGGACCUUGCUGAGCUACUUCUCUUUCUCAUCUCACCCCUUUCCUUUUCUCUUUCUGUCUCUGUCUUUCCCACACUCACGCCUUUAAAAAUGACUUCCGUGCUCCACUUUAAUGUCGGGCCCCUGGAUCUAGAUGACACUUGGCAAGCCACAGAAGCCGCAAGACAACUGGAUGAAAUAUUUAAAUGAAAUAUGGCAGGGGUAUAAGAGGUGAAGAAAGAAAGGGGGAUAACGGAUGGAGGGUAAAGAAUACAAGGGCCGAGGGAAUGAGAGAGUGACAAUAUUCAGAUGGUGAGUAAAAUGUGAAGAUUUUUUUUUCUUUUUGUGGAUGGAGAGAGAGACAGUUGAGGAGACGUGCAGAUAAAUUGGAUUCCACCUACAUGUAGCCUGAAGACAUACAUUAUAUGUAGCAAUACAGUUCACAUCCCUUUGUCUUGGAAUCAUCAGCAAAUCUCAGUGUGUCAAGGUAGAGUCAGCAGUGUGCCAGCUCAGUUGCUGACCAGAGGCCAAUAAAUCUGAGAACUACAAACUAAAGGAAACAAACAGGGGUUGGGACUUUUUUGUCAGCAAGACUGGAAAUGUUUUUAGUCAUAUAAUGGAAUCAUGGAGGCUGUACAAAUAGUUGGGCAGUAUGUGUCAUGCAAGUGUCCAUCUGGCAAGUGGAAUAAACAAAGUGCAUCCACAGUUUUUAGUAAUUCUACUCAGACAAAGGGGUGACUGUUAAGGAGUUACAUUUGUCCAUUAGCAGCACACAUGAACUACAGCCAAGUCUGAUGGGAAUGUUAUUCCUCAGUUAUUAAAUUUAAUCCUGAAGGGAACAUGAAUGUCUGUACCACAUUGUAUGGCAAUCUAUCCAGUAGUUGUUGAUCUAAUUAAAUCGUAAUCACAAAUGGCAACGAGUGGCACAAGUGAAAAAAUUAGAGGAUGAUUAAGAUCAUUAGUAGUCAGUAUCUAGGAAACAUGCAUCUGUUAAGAUUUGGUUUCAAUCCAUCAAGUGGAUAACAUCCGCCCUAAACUAAAGAUGAACAUGUGAUGGGAUCGUCUUGGCUGCAGUGCACUUAAACAGGUUGAUAUUACUCUGAGAGUAAUUAGACCGUGGCCAUAUUUGAACCAAGCCUCUACUUGGUGGUGAUUUUGUCUUGCAUGGCUGUGUGGUUGUGAUGCUGCCGCACCGACAAAAUCUAUCCUCAGACAGACGUGCAAACACCCACUAAAGGUAGCAGUGUCCCGCAUCCACGACCAGGAUCAGUGUCAGGAUCACACACACACACACACUCCACAUUCUAUGACCAAUCUAUUCUGUCGUUUUUGAGGUGUUUGAUUCUCAAAGUAAAGAGUUAAAGACGUGCAUCACCAUCCUUAGAGACACUGACAUGGUUAACAAAUGCACCGAUAGUAAUCCACAUGUUGGUUUAUAUUCAAACUGAAUUUCAUAGCACAAACAGGUUCUAUCUUUUUUACCAUAUUGCCUCACUGCUCUUUGAAACAGCUGAAGAGCACAUUAUCAAGGACAGAUAUAAAUGUAAACUUAACUCAUAUUUUUAUUUCUAUUCAAAUGUUUUUAAAAAGCUAUUCUGUACCACUCGCACAUCCAUGUAAUGCUAGUGUUUGUUUUAUAGUUAAAGAGCCUGUCCAGUGAGCUUAAAAAACAAUAGGAAAAACCUGCUAAGGAAAAAAGGAAGAAGCAAAUAUGUGAGAGGAACUUCAGACAAGUGGCGGAGUAACAAACAAGCAAAAAAAAAGCAGAAAAAGAACAGAAAUUUUUUCCACGCAAUAUUUUAUUUAUCACUGAUAUAUAUAUAUAUGUAUAUAUUUCUUAAUCAUUUGUAGCUGCGCAGUAAAGCACCCACAGAAAAACUAAGACUUCAUUAUCUUAGUUUUAAGAAGGACUUUUUUAAAAUUUCUGUUUGUUUCGAUAUAAAAUAAAAUAUUCAAUAACAUAUCACUUUACAUGUGUUUAGCUUGCGGUUUCUGCAAAUUCAGAUUUAAGGUGUAUGCAUGUUUGUCACUGUAGGCUUUUGUUUAUACUAGACCUAUGUACAUUGCUGUACAUGUGUAAACGUGGGUUGUGUGCAUGGGUCUGUAUUUAUACUACUUAUUACAAAGAUGCAAACUUAUCAAAUCAGUUCUAUCUGCCUAACAGGAGGGGGCAUUUGUUAGCUUGUACAGGUUAAAAAUAAAUGUGAAAGUGAUACAAGUAAAUCAUAUUCAUUGUGUCCUGUAAUAUUUAAUAUUUAUAAUAAAGACAAUUAAAAAAAUGUGUGAUGUCCUUUGUACCAUUAUACUCCCAUUCCCUUUUGUCAUUUCACAAAAGAAAGUGCUCCCACUUUUUGUAGCAUGAAAAGAUUCUCACAUUUAUGAGACAACGUUGUAAAUAAACUGCCAAAAAAACAAAAACAAAUACAUACCGCAUGCUAGCGUCACAGAAUAAAUUAAUAACUUACGGCCUGGCAGUUUUAAGAAGCAGCUGUGGGACUUAGUGAAAUGAGAAUGGCCUAUGCACAAGCAAGCUUAAGUAAAAAAAAAAAAAAAAAAAAAGUAUGUAUAUAUGUAUUAUACAUGCAUACAAACAGUUUCUGGUCAUUUAAGCAGUGAGGGAAAAACACAGCCAUGCUCUCCAUCUCCAGAACAGAUUGUACAUGCAGCAAUGAAAACGCUAGCUGUUUGCCAUCCAGUAGUUCAGAGUAAAGUAUUACUUCAAAUAAACAUUCUGUUUCCCAGUGCUGGGCUUUGUGAAUAAAUGAAAUGGAGAAGGAACAGAGGGGUUUUCUCCUGUGAUUGGGUGCAGAUGUGAGCUCCAGUCUGGGUUUGGUUAAAGUCCUGCUGCCAGGAAUAUUUGCAACAAUUCAAUAAAUAGAGCUGUUAGGAGCGAGGCAUUUCCUUGUCACCAUGUCAAGGUUUCAGAGCGGAUGUUUCUCAGUGGGUGUUUUCACUCAGCCUAUAGUGUAUCCAGAGCUGAGCGUACUCACUCAGCUCCAUACAAAACACUGUAACCUAAGGAAGAUUAGUGAGCAGCUGCAGGGGCAUAUUCAUGAUGAACCUGAGCUUUAAUUUAGUUUGGAUUUACAGAUAUGCAUGUCAAGGUUUGACUGGCUUUCC